ACGACAAUAUCACAUUAAAACACCGGUUUUCAUAUGAUCAUCAAAGUUAAGCAAUGUCAAUCGUGGUCAGUACCUAGAUGGGUGACCACUUGGAAAUACCAUGUGCUGUUA